rnacentral:rRNA from 1 species
GACGAACGCUGGCGGCGUGCUUAACACAUGCAAGUCGAACGGAAAGGCCCUGCUUUUGUGGGGUGCUCGAGUGGCGAACGGGUGAGUAACACGUGAGUAACCUGCCCUUGACUUUGGGAUAACUUCAGGAAACUGGGGCUAAUACCGGAUAGGAGCUCCUGCUGCAUGGUGGGGGUUGGAAAGUUUCGGCGGUUGGGGAUGGACUCGCGGCUUAUCAGCUUGUUGGUGGGGUAGUGGCUUACCAAGGCUUUGACGGGUAGCCGGCCUGAGAGGGUGACCGGCCACAUUGGGACUGAGAUACGGCCCAGACUCCUACGGGAGGCAGCAGUGGGGAAUAUUGCACAAUGGGCGGAAGCCUGAUGCAGCAACGCCGCGUGCGGGAUGACGGCCUUCGGGUUGUAAACCGCUUUCGCCUGUGACGAAGCGUGAGUGACGGUAAUGGGUAAAGAAGCACCGGCUAACUACGUGCCAGCAGCCGCGGUGAUACGUAGGGUGCGAGCGUUGUCCGGAUUUAUUGGGCGUAAAGGGCUCGUAGGUGGUUGAUCGCGUCGGAAGUGUAAUCUUGGGGCUUAACCCUGAGCGUGCUUUCGAUACGGGUUGACUUGAGGAAGGUAGGGGAGAAUGGAAUUCCUGGUGGAGCGGUGGAAUGCGCAGAUAUCAGGAGGAACACCAGUGGCGAAGGCGGUUCUCUGGGCCUUUCCUGACGCUGAGGAGCGAAAGCGUGGGGAGCGAACAGGCUUAAAUACCCUGGUAGUCCACGCUGUAAACGGUGGGUACUAGGUGUGGGGUCCAUUCCACGGGUUCCGUGCCGUAACUAACGCUUUAAGUACCCCGCCUGGGGAGUACGGCCGCAAGGCUAAAACUCAAAGGAAUUGACGGGGCCCCGCACAAGCGGCGGAGCAUGCGGAUUAAUUCGAUGCAACGCGUAGAACCUUACCUGGGUUUGACAUGGAUCGGGAGCGCUCAGAGAUGGGUGUGCCUCUUUUGGGGUCGGUUCACAGGUGGUGCAUGGCUGUCGUCAGCUCGUGUCGUGAGAUGUUGGGUUAAGUCCCGCAACGAGCGCAACCCUUGUUCACUGUUGCCAGCACGUUAUGGUGGGGACUCAGUGGAGACCGCCGGGGUCAACUCGGAGGAAGGUGGGGAUGACGUCAAGUUCUCAUGCCCCUUAUGUCCAGCGCUUCACGCAUGCUACCAUGGCUGGUACAGAGAGUGGCGAGCCUGUGAGGGUGAAGCAAUCUCGGAAAGCCGGUCUCAGUUCGGAUUGGGGGCUGCCAACUCGACCCCCUGAAGUCGGAGUCCCUAUUAAUCCCAGAAUCACAACGCUGCGGUGAUUACGUUCCCGGGGCU